AACCCAUGGUAAGGGCACCUUCUCAAUAAAUCCUUAUACCUCUCCCAUGCAUCGUAAAAGGGUAAAGGGUUUCUAAAUCCAUUUGCACGAAGGAAGAGAUAUCAUUCCUCAGCUU
rnacentral:snoRNA from 1 species